CGGACCCGGGACUGGCCGGGCAAGGGGUGCCCGCUUCUGCUCCGACAGUCGGCCUCAGGAUGACUUCCGGCAGGCGACAGGUGUCUGUUCCUGUCAAAGAUGAGGACCCGGGCCCAGAGCCCAGCCUUGACUUGUGAGGACGACACGGGAGCCAUGGGUACACUGGCCGCAGGACCCUGCUAAAGACGCCCGGCGUGGACGUGUCGGAGCCGCGCUAUUACCGCGACGCGAACCCGGCCUCGCCCCCGCACGCGCUCGGCCGCCUGGUAGCCAAGGAGGGGACGCGACCACACGGCACGGCCGCCACAGCUGUCCCUCCAGCCCGCCCUAGGGAGGUGGGGUGCGGAAGCGGAUCUUCUUGGCCGUCUCCACGUCAGAUUUGGCAACCAGAAAGCGCAUCUUCUUUCCUCCGUGUCGGAUCAGGUCCACAGCCCUGAAAGCCGGCCAGGGGAGACGCGUGGUGUGGCCGACUCGCCACGGGUCCAGCCGCGGGGCCCAUCCCCAGGCCGGAGGGACCCCGCUCCAGCUCUACCACGAACACGUAGCAGAAGUCCUCGGCGCUGGAGCUGCGGCUGGAGAGGGCUGGCGGGGGCUCGUCCGCCGGAGCCACGCCGUCUCCUGCGCAGGUCAGAUCAGGCCUUCAGCCACAGCGUGUGGCUGCAGUCCCCUCACCAGCAAGCAGGUGCCCUGCCUCAGGCCCGGAUCUGCCCAGGUGACCCCUGGCCUUGGGGCACACCCAGAGUCUGCAGGGGCACUGCCGGGGGCGGCUCUGCCCUGCACUUCAUGGCCCCCCGGCCCUCCCCCCAGCCUGCUACCUGGUGCACACCACCUGAGCCGUCCCUUCCUCCACCCCGGGGGGAGGGACUUCGUCCCACAGGCGGCUGUGCGUGCACCCCGUGCCCUUCGACGGGGGCCUGAACCACCCUGCGCCCACCUCACGUGGCCCCUGGAGCCUGCCCAGCACGGGCUACGGGCGUUCGUGGGCAGAUACCAGAAGCCCAGGCCAAACGUGCCCCUAGGGCCGCACGGUUACGGUGACCCAAAGGGGCCCCGCCCAGGUGCCGGGGGCGGGGGGGACGGGGAGCUGUUGGGAGCCUGGGGACAGGUCUUACCUUCCCCAGCUGCACCUCGGGGGCCA